GUUCCGGUGGCUCAACAGGACAGAGCGGCGGCCUCCGAAGCCGCAGAUUGCGAGUUCGAGCCUCGCCCGGAACA
rnacentral:tRNA from 1 species